rnacentral:rRNA from 1 species
UACGUAGGGGGCAAGCGUUGUCCGGAAUUAUUGGGCGUAAAGAGCUCGUAGGCGGUUCGUCGCGUCGGCUGUGAAAACCCGGAGCUCAACUCCGGGCCUGCAGUCGAUACGGGCGGACUUGAGUGUUGCAGGGGAGACUGGAAUUCCUGGUGUAGCGGUGAAAUGCGCAGAUAUCAGGAAGAACACCGGUGGCGAAGGCGGGUCUCUGGGCAACUACUGACGCUGAGGAGCGAAAGCGUGGGGAGCGAACAGG